AUGAUAAAAUCUUUAGGUAUAGCUUAUAGGAACAUAAAUAGUGGCGUGUGCAUCGUGCAUUUGAAAAGAAAAGGGUGGCACUGGCACACUGAUAUGUAUGCUGCCUGCAGGGGUUUUGAAACUCAAUCAUGCUUCAAGCUUCCCACAAGUUCAAUUUCCACCACACUUGAUGGAUAUGUUUGACUUCCCACCCACUCAACACUUAAAAAGAACAGCAACAAUACAAAAGAUACUUGUAGCGUGGCGUGGGUAA
rnacentral:lncRNA from 1 species